UGUAUAAAAAGUCUGUUUUUCAAUUUUUUGAGGAACCAACAUACUGUUUUCCGCAGUGGCUGUUAUUGUUGAGGACAGUCAUACAUCUCACAACAAUAGCCAACUUUGCAUGCGGAAGCCAGAAGAGGGCAUUGGAUCUCCUGGGUCUGGAGUGACAACAGCUGUGAGACACCAUAUGGGUUUUAGGAAUUGAAGGACAUUUGAGCACACUGGGAUUGGUAAGCUGGUAUCUCUGAACCUGAUGCUCC